AGAGUUUGAUCCUGGCUCAGGACGAACGCUGGCGGUGCGCUUUAUGCAUGCAAGUCGAGCGAAGCUUUUCAGUAGUUUACUACAGAAAAUGACUGAGCGGCGAACGGGUGAGUAACGCGUGAGCAAUCUACCUUAGUUACAGGGAUAGCCCGAGGAAACUCGGAUUAAUACCUGAUAUUCUUUACAUUUCGCAUGAAAUCAAAAGGAAAGGUCAGCCGAACUAAGAUGAGCUCGCGUUCUAUCAGCUAGUUGGUGAGGUAAAAGCUCACCAAGGCAACGACGGAUAGCUGGUCUGAGAGGACGAUCAGCCACACUGGGACUGAGACACGGCCCAGACUCCUACGGGAGGCUGCAGCAGGGAAUAUUGCGCAAUGAGCGAAAGCUUGACGCAGCGACACCGCGUGUGGGAUGACGGAUCUAGGUUUGUAAACCACUUUCAGGAGGGAAGAAAAUGACGGUACCUCCACAAGAAGCCCCGGCCAACUACGUGCCAGCAGCCGCGGUAAUACGUAGGGGGCGAGCGUUGUCCGGAUUUAUUGGGCGUAAAGAGCUCGUAGGCGGUUCAACAAGUCGGUCGUAAAAGUUCAGGGCUCAACCCUGAAAUGUCGAUCGAUACUGUUGUGACUAGGAUACGGUAGAGGUGAGUGGAAUUCCGAGUGUAGAGGUGAAAUUCGUAGAUAUUCGGAGGAACACCAGUGGCGAAGGCGGCUCACUGGCUCGAUACUGACGCUGAGGUGCGAAAGUGUGGGGAGCAAACAGGAUUAGAUACCCUGGUAGUCCACACCGUAAACGAUGAAUGCCAGUCGUCGGGUAGUAUACUAUUCGGUGACACACCUAACGGAUUAAGCAUUCCGCCUGGGGAGUACGGUCGCAAGAUUAAAACUCAAAGGAAUUGACGG
rnacentral:rRNA from 1 species